UACGUAGGGUGCAAGCGUUAAUCGGAAUUACUGGGCGUAAAGCGUGCGCAGGCGGUGAUGUAAGACAGAUGUGAAAUCCCCGGGCUCAACCUGGGAACUGCAUUUGUGACUGCAUCGCUGGAGUACGGCAGAGGGGGAUGGAAUUCCGCGUGUAGCAGUGAAAUGCGUAGAUAUGCGGAGGAACACCGAUGGCGAAGGCAAUCCCCUGGGCCUGUACUGACGCUCAUGCACAAAGCUGGGGAGCGA
rnacentral:rRNA from 1 species